rnacentral:ncRNA from 2 species
AUCUUAUCAAGAAAGGCGGAGGGUUUUGGCCCUGUGAAGCCUUGGCAACCCAUAUUACGUUCACUCUGUAGUAUGAAGGUGCCAAUUCCAUCCUGAUUGCAUUAAACUGCAACGGGGAAGAUAAGUC